CUGACUGUCCUGGAGAUUAAAUUCCUCUCUUCAGCUACAGAACAGGUACAGCAUGGACAGUGGCAGAGCAAAGUUCUUCACGCCACUCCACCCAUGUGCCUCAAACCUGGCCUAGAGGGACUUCUUGUAGGAAUGAGAUGGAAAUCCAGUUGCCAUGGCUCAGUCAGUCUCUGGCCUCU
ensembl:misc_RNA